rnacentral:tRNA from 1 species
GGGGCCGUAGCUCAGCUGGGAGAGCGCAUGACUGGCAGUCAUGAGGUCAGGGGUUCGAUCCCCCUCGGCUCCACCU